rnacentral:rRNA from 1 species
ACGGAAGGCAGCAGUAGGGAAUAUUGCACAAUGGGGGAAACCCUGAUGCAGCGACGCCGCGUGAGUGAAGAAGUAUUUCGGUACGUAAAGCUCUAUCAGCAGGGAAGAUAAUGACGGUACCUGCAUAAGAAGCCCCGGCUAACUACGUGCCAGCAGCCGCGGUAAUACGUAGGGGGCAAGCGUUAUCCGGAUUUACUGGGUGUAAAGGGAGUGUAGGUGGUUAGGCAAGUCAGAUGUGAAAGCCGCGGCUCAACUGCGGGACUGCAUUUGAAACUGUCGAACUAGAGUGCAGGAGAGGAAAGUGGAAUUCCUAGUGUAGCGGUGAAAUGCGUAGAUAUUAGGAGGAACACCAGUGGCGAAGGCGGCUUUCUGGACUGUAACUGACACUGAGGCUCGAAAGCGUGGGGAGCAAACAGGAUUAGAUACCCUGGUA